rnacentral:rRNA from 1 species
GAUGAACGCUGGCGGCGUGCCUAAUACAUGCAAGUCGAGCGAACGGACGAGAAGCUUUCUUCUCUGAUGUUAUCGGCGGACGGGUGAGUAACACGUGGAUAACCUACCUAUAAGACUGGGAUAACUUCGGGAAACCGUAGCUAAUACCGGAUAAUAUUUUGAACCGCAUGGUUCAAAAGUUAAAGACGGUCUUGCUGUCACUUAUAGAUUGAUCCGCGCUGCAUUAGCUAGUUGGUAAGGUAACGGCUUACCAAGGCAACGAUGCAUAGCCGACCUGAGAGGGUGAUCGGACACACUGGAACUGAGACACGGUCCAGACUCCUACGGGAGGCAGCAGUAGGGAAUCUUCCGCAAUGGGCGAAAGCCUGACGGAGCAAAGCCGCGUGAGUGAUGAAGGUCUUCGGAUCGUAAAACUCUGUUAUUAGGGAAGAACAUAUGUGUAAGUAACUGUGCACAUCUUGACGGUACCUAAUCAGAAAGCCACGGCUAACUACGUG